rnacentral:rRNA from 1 species
UCAAGCGACUAAGUGUAUGUGGUGGAUGCCUUGGCGAUCACAGGCGAUGAAGGACGUGACAGCCUGCGAAAAGCUGUGGGGAGCUGGCAAAUAAGCUUUGAUCCACAGAUGUCCGAAUGAGGGAACUCACCUGCUUUGCAGGUAUCCCAUCCUGAAUAUAUAGGGAUGGGAGGCGAACGAAGCGAACUGAAACAUCUAAGUAGCUUCAGGAAAAGAAAUCAACCGAGAUUCCGAAAGUAGCGGCGAGCGAAAUCGGAUCAGCCCAGCACUCGAUAGCAGCCAACUUACGGGAACGGUCUGGAAAGUCCGGCCAUAGAGGGUGAUAGCCCCUUACUGGAAAAGGCAGCUGCGGUACUAAGUGUGCGAUAAGUAGAGCGGGACACGUGACAUCCUGCUCGAAGAUGGGGGGACCAUCCUCCAAGGCUAAAUACUCGUGAUCGACCGAUAGCGUACCAGUACUGUGAAGGAAAGGUGAAAAGAACCCCGGGAGGGGAGUGAAAUAGAUCCUGAAACCGCAUACAUACAAACAGUAGGAGCCUCGUUAAGGGGUGACUGCGUACCUUUUGCAUAAUGGGUCAGCGACUUACGUUUAAUGGCGAGCUUAACCGUAUAGGGGAGGCGCAGCGAAAGCGAGUUCGAACAGAGCGUUCAGUCGUUAGGCGUAGACCCGAAACCAGAUGAUCUAUCCAUGGCCAGGUUGAAGGUGUGGUAACACACACUGGAGGACCGAACCGACUAGUGUUGCAAAAUUAGCGGAUGAGCUGUGGAUAGGGGUGAAAGGCUAAACAAAUCUGGAGAUAGCUGGUUCUCCCCGAAAACUAUUGAGGUAGUGCCUCGUGUAUGACUCCAGGGGGUAGAGCACUGUUAUGGCUAGGGGGACAUGGCGUCUUACCAAACCAUGGCAAACUCCGAAUACUUGGAAGUUUGAGCACGGGAGACAGAGCACCGGGUGCUAACGUCCGGACUCAAGAGGGAAACAACCCAGACCGCCGGCUAAGGUCCCUAAUAUUGACUAAGUGGAAAACGAAGUGGAAAGGCUAAGACAGUCAGGAAGUUGGCUUAGAAGCAGCCAUCCUUCAAAGAAAGCGUAAUAGCUCACUGAUCGAGUCUUUCUGCGCGGAAGAUGUAACGGGGCUAAGUCAAUAACCGAAGCCGCGGAUUCACACUUGUGUGUGAGUGGUAGGGGAGCGUUCUGUAAGCCUGCGAAGGUGACUCGUAAGGGUUGCUGGAGGUAUCAGAAGUGCGAAUGCUGACAUGAGUAACGUUAAAGCGGGUGAAAAGCCCGCUCGCCGUAAGCCCAAGGUUUCCUGCUCUACGUUCAUCGGAGCAGGGUGAGUCGGCCCCUAAGGUGAGGCUGAGAAGCGUAACUGAUGGGAACAAGGUUAAUAUUCCUUGACCACCGCUGAAUGCGAAGGGGGGACGGAGUAUUGAAGAUCAUCCGGGUGUUGGAUAUCCCGGUUUGCGAGCGUAGGAGGCUGACAGGCAAAUCCGUCAGCGAAUCUCCGAGGCAAAGCAUCGAGCUCUCUUUUGAGCGAAGUGAUUGGAUGUGCUUCCAGGAAAAGCCUCUAAGCUCCAGUUCAGCGGGACCGUACCGCAAACCGACACUGGUGGGCGAGCUGAAUAUGCUCAGGCGCUUGAGAGAACUCAGGAGAAGGAACUCGGCAAAUUGACACCGUAACUUCGGGAUAAGGUGUGCCUUUGUAGCGUGGAGGGAGAAACACCCCGAGCGCGAAGAGGUCUCAGAUAAUCGGUGGCUGCGACUGUUUAUUAAAAACACAGCACUCUGCAAAGACGAAAGUCGACGUAUAGGGUGUGAUGCCUGCCCGGUGCUGGAAGAUUAAUUGAUGGGGUGCAAGCUCCUGAUCGAAGUCCCAGUAAACGGCGGCCGUAACUAUAACGGUCCUAAGGUAGCGAAAUUCCUUGUC